UACGGGGGGGGCAAGCGUUGUUCGGAAUUACUGGGCGUAAAGGGCGCGUAGGCGGUUCGCUAAGUUGGAUGUGAAAACUCUGGGCUCAACCCAGAGCCUGCAUCCAAAACUGGCGGGCUAGAGUUCUGGAGGGGGUAGCGGAAUUCCUGGUGUAGCGGUGAAAUGCGUAGAUAUCUGGAGGAACACCGGUGGCGAAGGCGGCAUCCUGGACCGGUAUUGACGCUGAUGCGCGAAAGCCAGGGGAGCAAACGGG
rnacentral:rRNA from 1 species